GUUCCUGCUGGCGACCUAGAAGUUUUCCUCAGGCCACAACUUUUGCAGAGUGGACCUGGGAAAAACACCCGCGCCGCACAUACCCUCAAAGCUGAGCUUGGCAGGACACCCAAGGCGACCCGUCAUGCCCACCCGAAGGGAAGAAGCUGUGCUCUCCCGCCCCCUUCUCCCUAGGCCAGCCUGGACGCCCAGGAGGCCCGGGCUGGGCUGUGGGGGUCCGAAAGCCCCAGCGCUGCUGGUGAUUUCUCGCCCAGAGCCCCGCCAAGCCAGCGCGCGCUCUCGCAAGCCUGGCAGACCAGAAACUACUGGAAAAAAGGCGCGGUCGAGAAAGCCUGGUUGUUGUGGUCCCACAAACCACAAAUCAUACGAGAGAGGAUCCCGAAGAGGGGAGAAAAGUCAGUACAAACUUGUUCCUGUCACCUUUGGGAAGAAAAAGUUCCUCACCAGGCGCGGGGCGUGCUUUGCCCUGGGCAGGGUCGCGCUUGCAGGGGCUUGGGUGACCCCCAUCCCUCCCUGGCCGCUCACCUCCUGCGGAGGAGGGCCGUCCGCCUCCUGGCCCAGGGCGCAGGGCGCGUCCUGCCCCGGCACUGCGGACCCCAGGAUCGCUUCCCCCGGGCGCGCGGGCGGGGAAGGAGGAAGAGGCGGGCGGGGAACCGCGGGGUCCUCACCGCCCUGGGGCAUUAGGGGCGCGGAACCGCGUUGGAGGCCUCGCGGCCCCGGCUCGCGAGACCGCACUGCGGAGUGGCCGCGGGAGCUCGGCCAACUCCUCUCCCCCACCCACCUCCUGUCGGACACAGUCUCCACUCUCCAGGCCGCCGGCCGUGGGGGAACCCCUAAUCAGUUCGCGCCCGGCCUCUCUGCCCGUCUUCCUCACGGGAACCGCACCACGACCGGGACGGACGGGAGAGGACGGACGGGGUGACCUAUCUCCCGAUGCAGCGUCAGAGGUUAGCCUAACCACAACGGACUCGGAGUCUGGACUGUAUAAGGAUGCCCUCCGCACUUCCAUCAGGGGUCGGGGAUGCGAUGUCUCCGGGCCCACCUUCUCCCACGCCCAGGGCGCGCCUGCGGAAUGAGACUAUCGUACUGAAGACGAGUGGGCUGCUUGCGACCCAAAUACAAUGGGCCCCUCGCACAUCCUGCACUCGCACGCCCCCUUCUCCCCCAACGAAUUGUCCCCUCUAAAACGCGAGCGGCGACCACACAGCUUGGCCGACCCGAUCUGGCUUCUGAAGAUGAGGUCGGCUGCUCUGGGAGCGGAGAAGGGGAGAGAGCUUAGUGGUUUCAUCGGAGGCCUGGCCAACCUGCUCCUUCCCACGCUCCCGUCCAGGAUUUGAGUCUUGGAGAAGCGUGGGACCCGAGGGAGCUCUUUCCUGGAUCAAGUCGGAGGCCAGGGAGCCCCUUGGCACACACUCGCGCCUGCACAUGCUCGCACCCUCGAAGCGAUCUGGUUCCUUAGCGCUGGUUUCCUCUCCAGCUCCUUUGAGCUCUUCGAAGUCCCCUUUCCCAGGGAGGCGGGCAGGGCCAGGCUAAGCAGGAUGGAAGGCAGCCCUUUUUGUUGAAUCUGAUAGCUACUUUCCCAAAAAGGCCAGAAAAGCCAUUUCACAUCUCCAUAGUUAUAGGAAUAAACUUUUUCUCCAAGAUGCUCCCAUUAGCCAAUUAAACCAUCAGUGGGCCAACAGGGUCAAAGUUAGUGGCUUGGUGGUUAAAAGCUCGGAGUCCGAGCUCUCUGAAGACUUUUUUCCCGUCUUGCCACUUUCUAGUUGGUGACCUUGGCAAGCAAGGUACUCAGCCGCUGUGUACCUCAGUUUUGCGAUUUGUAAAAUGGGAGUUACAAUAGUGCAUUCCUUGUAGAGUGGCUAUAGGUUUAAGAGUUAAUAUACGCAAGGUCUUUAGGACUGUGCUGAGCGCGCAGAAGGCCCUCUCUUGAGUGGUCGCAGUUGGCUGCUCUCGGCCUCAUCUCCGUUUGUGAAAACCCACCCAGAUUCCGGUCCUCCCAGGCCCCAGCUGAAGUUUGGAGAGAGGCUUUGCCGAAUAGCUCUUUAGUCUCCCCCAACCCCCUUGGCCCUCGGAGCUCCCGGAAAAAGUUCUUAAUGAAGUAAUGUUGAGAGCGUCCAUUAAAAAUGCAAUGCUGGG
rnacentral:lncRNA from 1 species